rnacentral:rRNA from 1 species
CCUACGGGAGGCAGCAGUGGGGGAUAUUGCACAAUGGGGGGAACCCUGAUGCAGCGACGCCGCGUGGGUGAAGGAGUGCUUCGGCAUGUAAAGCCUUAUCUGCAGGGAAGAAGCAAGACGGUACCUGACCAAGAAGCCCCUGCGAACUACGUGCCAGCAGCCGCGGUAAGACGUAGGGGGCGAGCGUUAUCCGGAUUCACUGGGUGUAAAGGGAGCGUAGACGGGCAUGCAAGCCAGGGGUGAAAGCCCGGGGCCCAACCCCGGGACUGCCGGUGGAACUGCAUGGCUGGAGUGCGGGAGGGGGAGGCGGAAUUCGUGGUGUAGCGGUGAAAUGCGUAGAUAUCAGGAGGAACACCGGCGGCGAAGGCGGCCUGCUGGACCGCGACUGACGUUGAGGCUCGAAAGCGUGGGGAGCGAACAGGAUUAGAUACCCCUGUAGUC